GGGAGAGGGAGGAGAGGAUGGAGAGGGGAGAGAGAGAGAGAGAGGAGAGAGAGAGAGAAAGAGAGAGAGAGAGUUUACUAAGCUGGAAUAGCAGCAGUGUAGACUGUGAAGAGGUAUGGGCAACAUCUGCACGUGGAGUAGAUUAUUUAACAGGAGGGGGUCUUGAGCAUUAUGAACCUUAACCCAUUGUGAUGGGUAGUGAGCACUUCUUUCCUUUACAGGUUCAGGGUACCCUUUCUUUGGAAAGACAGCUCAACAAAGGUGAGGUUGGAAACUCUACGGGCACCAGCACAGGAGAAGGGGACCCUCACUCAUCCCGGUAGACACAGGAGGUAGUGUCUUCGAGCCUAUUCUUCAUGGAGCUUUUUAAUUUCCUCAGCAUCCACACAGGGCUUGACCAACUCUUGCUAACAGCACAGUAGACAGAAGGAUGAAAGUGAAUGAUAUGCCCUGAACUUGAUCAGUCUGUCCCGAUGUACAGUGACG
rnacentral:lncRNA from 1 species